rnacentral:rRNA from 1 species
GGUAACAGGCCCUUCGGGGUGCUGACGAGUGGCGGACGGGUGAGUAAUGCUUAGGAAUCUGCCUAGUAGUGGGGGAUAACCCGGGGAAACUCGGGCUAAUACCGCAUACGCCCUACGGGGGAAAGCGGGGGACUUUCGGGCCUCGCGCUAUUAGAUGAGCCUAAGUCCGAUUAGCUAGUUGGUAGGGUAAUGGCCUACCAAGGCGACGAUCGGUAGCUGGUCUGAGAGGACGACCAGCCACACUGGGACUGAGACACGGCCCAGACUCCUACGGGAGGCAGCAGUGGGGAAUAUUGGACAAUGGGCGCAAGCCUGAUCCAGCGAUGCCGCGUGUGUGAAGAAGGCCUGCGGGUUGUAAAGCACUUUCAGUAGGAAAGAAAAGCCGAGUGCUAAUAUCACUCGGUCUUGACGUUACUUACAGAAGAAGCACCGGCUAACUCCGUGCCAGCAGCCGCGGUAAUACGGAGGGUGCGAGCGUUAAUCGGAAUUACUGGGCGUAAAGGGCGCGUAGGCGGUUUGGUAAGUCGGGUGUGAAAGCCCCGGGCUCAACCUGGGAAUUGCAUUCGAUACUGCCUGGCUAGAGUAUGGUAGAGGGAAGCGGAAUUCCGGGUGUAGCGGUGAAAUGCGUAGAUAUCCGGAGGAACACCAGUGGCGAAGGCGGCUUCCUGGACUAAUACUGACGCUGAGGCGCGAAAGCGUGGGGAUCAAACAGGAUUAGA